AUCUGAAAGAGAGUAUACUGUUUCUACAUUCUUUUAUUGAAGAUCACUAAACAUUUAUUUUGAGAACAGUCAUCAUGUCGGGUAUGGAGAAGAAGCUUCUAACUACAGUCUUGAUCUAUUCUUUUGCCGAGGUGUUACAGGACUUGAUAACAAAGAAAACGAAAGAAACGUGUUCUGGUUGCCAAGUUGAACACCCCAGUCAACAUAACCACGAAUGUUUGAUGAAUGGAGAGCAGGAGCACUUGGAAAGACAUUUUGAAACAGCAUGUCAUUCGUUUUCACUUUUAGAUGUGUUGAUUAAAUUCAGAGAAGACGUAAAAAAACUGAACAUGUCAUCAGAAUUUGUAUGCAAUUACUUC
rnacentral:lncRNA from 1 species